rnacentral:rRNA from 1 species
GACGAACGCUGGCGGCGUGCUUAACACAUGCAAGUCGAACGGAAAGGCCUCUUUCGGGGGGUACUCGAGUGGCGAACGGGUGAGUAACACGUGAGUAACCUGCCCUUGACUUUGGGAUAACUUCAGGAAACUGGGGCUAAUACCGGAUAGGAGCUCCUGCUGCAUGGUGGGGGUUGGAAAGUUUCGGCGGUUGGGGGUGGACUCGCGGCUUUUCAGCUUGUUGGUGGGGUAGUGGCUUACCAAGGCUUUGACGGGUAGCCGGCCUGAGAGGGUGACCGGCCACAUUGGGACUGAGAUACGGCCCAGACUCCUACGGGAGGCAGCAGUGGGGAAUAUUGCACAAUGGGUGGAAGCCUGAUGCAGCAACGCCGUGUGCGGGAUGACGGCCUUCGGGUUGUCAACCGCUUUCGCUCAUGACGAAGCUUUGUGUGACGGUAGUGGGUAAAGAAGCACCGGCUAACUACGUG